GCGGACAUGGUGUAGUGGUAUCAUGCAAGAUUCCCAUUCUUGCGACUCGGGUUCGAUUCCCGAUGUCCGCA